rnacentral:rRNA from 1 species
ACGGGAGGCAGCAGUGGGGAAUAUUGGACAAUGGGGGAAACCCUGAUCCAGCGACGCCGCGUGAGUGAAGAAGUAUUUCGGUACGUAAAGCUCUAUCAGCAGGGAAGAUAAUGACGGUACCUGACUAAGAAGCCCCGGCUAACUACGUGCCAGCAGCCGCGGUAAUACGUAGGGGGCAGGCGUUAUCCGGAUUUACUGGGUGUAAAGGGAGCGUAGACGGCAUGGCAAGUCUGAUGUGAAAACCCGGGGCUCAACCCCGGGACUGCAUUGGAAACUGUCAGGCUAGAGUGCAGGAGAGGUAAGUGGAAUUCCUAGUGUAGCGGUGAAAUGCGUAGAUAUUAGGAGGAACACCAGUGGCGAAGGCGGCUUACUGGACUGUAACUGACGUUGAGGCUCGAAAGUGUGGGGAGCAAACAGGAUUAGAUUCCCUGGUA